UUGCGGCGUUCGAACUUAUUAAAGCGGAUUUAUACAAGUUUACGCAAUAUUUCUAGUAAAGACUGAAAUGAACAAAUAAUGAGUAACAUAAAUUGGAAUUCGGUCUAGUCAGAACUCUUGAAAUUGUUUUAUAAAGUUUUUCAUUUCGAGGUUUUGAAGAUUUCGUUUUUGUGUAUUUUUAUUUAAAAUUGUCAUAGCACGGUCGUUUUUCAAUAAUUGUGGAACGGUGUGUUUUAAGUGGGUGCUUCAAUUGUUUAAGUAGCGCUUAUUUCCCAAAUUUUUUAUGUUCAGUGAAGUUUAAUAGUCACUCUGGAAUUCCCCUAUAGGUAAUUGAUGUUUAAUAAGUUAUCACUUAUCAUCAACAACGAAGGAAACACGAAGAGUCGGAGGAGAUUUGUUAGAGGGCCAAUGUUGGAAAAAAGUCGUUGAACGGUUUUUUGCCGUAAUAAUGGAAUAUUAUAGAAGCUCAAAAUGCCAUGUGUUCACGAAGUUUCUUCAUAUCAAUCCUCUUUCACUUCUGGAUGUAGUGUUACCUGAAGGAAGCAUAAAAGAGUACCAUUUUCAGCUGGAAGCUGAGGCAGACUGUUGCUGUAACUAAAGAAAUGCUUUAUGACAAAAAUUGAUUGGCCAACAAAUGAACUACUGAAAUGACUACAAUGGUACCUAUUGUUUUGCCUGUACAUACUUAACUUUCGAUUUACUGUUGGCAUCUUUACCUCACAUGCGGCUGAUUUUUGAUGGAUUAGUGUGAGCAACUGGAAGUUAUUUGGACCCCACUGAAACAACAAAUCAUCUGCAUUGAAUCUUUCUUCCUGGUUACGGCUUUCUCUCGCACUUGCAAAUUUGAAGAAUUACAUUCUACAGUUAGUUAAGAUUGCCCAACAAAUGCGAGAAAACUGAAAUUAAUUUUGAUGCUGCCAAUGUCGCCUACAAUGGUAUCAUAUUUGCUUAUUUUGGUUUGCUGUUGUCAUCUUCACAUUGCUUCAUCAGGCAGUUAAUUUUGGACCAAUGAAAGAAAACACCUGGAAAUUUAUUUGGAAACCACUAACAUCACGUCAUUUUGGCCUUGCUCUGCACUCACAUUAAGAUCGACGGUGGAGAAGACAAAGAAGAUCCCGUAGUUAGAAUAUUUUUUGCCCUAUUAUAAUCAAGCUCUUAUUUUGCAUGUUUUUUAUUUUUAGUUUGCUUAUUUUUUUGUAGUUUAUUUUAUUUGAGUCAAUUUUAAUUU